UACGGGGGGGGCAAGCGUUGUUCGGAAUUACUGGGCGUAAAGGGCUCGUAGGCGGCCAACUAAGUCAGACGUGAAAUCCCUCGGCUUAACCGGGGAACUGCAUCUGAUACUGGAUGGCUCGAGUUUGGGAGAGGGAUGCGGAAUUCCAGGUGUAGCGGUGAAAUGCGUAGAUAUCGGGAGGAACACCGGUGGCGAAGGCGGUUCUCUGGGCCUUACCUGACGCUGAGGAGCGAAAGCGUGGGGAGCGAACAGG
rnacentral:rRNA from 1 species